rnacentral:tRNA from 1 species
UAACGCAGUUCAGCUGGAUAGAGCACCCGACUUCCAAGCGGGACGGUCGAAGGUUCGAAUCCUUCUGCGUUCACAA